rnacentral:tRNA from 1 species
GCCUUCGUGGUGUAACGGUUGCACACUUGGCGUGUAUUGGAGAGGUCCAGGUUCGAAUCCCGGCGAGGGCA